UUGCUUGCUUUGGCAGCACAUACACUAAAAUCAGAAUGAUUCAGAGAGGAUUAGCAUGGCCCCUGCACAAGGAUGACAUGCAAAUUCAUGAGUGUUCCAAAUUUUUU
ensembl:snRNA U6 U6 spliceosomal RNA